rnacentral:rRNA from 1 species
AUACAGAGGGUGCGAGCGUUAAUCGGAAUUACUGGGCGUAAAGCGCGCGUAGGCGGCUGAUUAAGUCAGAUGUGAAAUCCCAGGGCUCAACCUUGGAACUGCAUCUGAUACUGGUCAGCUAGAGUUUAGGAGAGGGAAGUAGAAUUUCAGGUGUAGCGGUGAAAUGCAUAGAUAUCUGAAGGAAUACCAGUGGCGAAGGCGGCUUCCUGGCCUAAAACUGACGCUGAGGUGCGAAAGCGUGGGUAGCAAACAGGAUUAGAAACCCCAGUAGUCC